rnacentral:rRNA from 1 species
AACUUUCAGCAACGGAUCUCUUGGCUCUCGCAUCGAUGAAGAACGCAGCGAAAUGCGAUAAGUAAUGUGAAUUGCAGAAUUCAGUGAAUCAUCGAAUCUUUGAACGCACCUUGCGCCCUUUGGACCAUUCUGAAGGGCAUGCCUGUUUGAGUAUCA